GAACUGAAGAGUUUGAUCCUGGCUCAGAUUGAACGCUGGCGGUAUGCUUUACACAUGCAAGUCGAACGGCAGCACGGGGCAACCUGGUGGCGAGUGGCGAACGGGUGAGUAACAUAUCGGAA
rnacentral:rRNA from 1 species